rnacentral:rRNA from 1 species
UACAGAGGGUGCGAGCGUUAAUCGGAAUUAUUGGGCGUAAAGGGUGCGUAGGCGGAUGUAUAAGUGAUAGGUGAAAGACCCGGGCUUAACCUGGGGAGGUCCUGUCAGACUGUACGUCUAGAAUGUGGUAGAGGAAGGUGGAAUUCCUGGUGUAGCGGUGAAAUGCGCAGAUAUCAGGAGGAACACCGGUGGCGAAGGCGGUUCUCUGGGUUAACACUGACGCUCAGGCACGAAAGCGUGGGGAGCAAACAGG